rnacentral:rRNA from 1 species
AACGAACGCUGGCGGCAUGCCUAACACAUGCAAGUCGAACGAGACCUUCGGGUCUAGUGGCGCACGGGUGCGUAACGCGUGGGAACCUGCCCUUAGGUUCGGAAUGACUCCCCGAAAGGGGUGCUAAUACCGGAUAAUGUCUUCGGACCAAAGAUUUAUCGCCUUUGGAUGGGCCCGCGUUGGAUUAGCUAGUUGGUAGGGUAAAAGCCUACCAAGGCGACGAUCCAUAGCUGGUCUGAGAGGAUGAUCAGCCACACUGGGACUGAGACACGGCCCAGACUCCUACGGGAGGCAGCAGUGGGGAAUAUUGGACAAUGGGCGAAAGCCUGAUCCAGCAAGGCCGCGUGAGUGAUGAAGGCCUUAGGGUUGUAAAGCUCUUUUACCCGGGAUGAUAAUGACAGUACCGGGAGAAUAAGCUCCGGCUAACUCCGUG